rnacentral:rRNA from 1 species
AACUAUAUGUUAUUAUAUAUAGCUAUUCCUGCUCAAUGAUUUUAAAUAGCCGCAGUACCCUGACUGUGCAAAGGUAGCAUAAUCAGUUGGCUUUUAAUUGGAGUCUGGCAUGAACGGAUUUCUGGAAAGUAACUGUAUCUUAUUUAUUUACGCGAAAUUAAUUUGUAAGUGAAAAUACUUACAUCUUUAGAGAGGACGAGAAGACCCUAGAAAUUUCUUUUAUUUUGUUGGGGCGACAGAAUUACAGUUAAACUAAUUUGAAUUAACGUGGCGUUAUUACAGUUCGAUUAAAUUACUCUAGGGAUAACAGCAUAAUUUAACUAGUUUGUGACCUCGAUGUUGGACUAGGACAUUAAUGGUUUAGAAGACCUUUAAUAGUGCUCUGUUCGAGCAAAUAUUUCCU